rnacentral:lncRNA from 1 species
GAAAACUUGAAUGUGAAAACUACAAUAUAUAAGGACCACUGUUCUCUCUCCACAGUUCCACACAAGAGCAACUUAAAUUGGUAAACUCUGAAAUAGUGAUUUUUGUCUUAUUAACCAUUCCAUGAAAUAGUAAGAAAGAAUGUUUUCAAGAAAAUAUGCUAAAAAUAUUUUGACAAUAUAUAAAAUGUAUUACUUAGCUUUAAUCACAAAAAUCAGACUUCCUCAAAAUAUAAAUUUCUUUUGCUUCUUUGUGUUCGUAUGUUAUUUCAUUUUAAAAACUUUUAGAAAUAUUUGAUUUGUAAGUAGAUAUACCACCUCCAAGUUGCUGUCCCAACAG